rnacentral:lncRNA from 1 species
AUUUACAGAGAACAGUUUAUUUCUCACAAAGCCACAAAGCACUGCAUUCUUACCAUAACUAUAUCAUUAAAAUUUAUUCAGGUAAUAUAGAUGCCCAGGCCAGCUUCAAACUACAUACUAUUCCCUGCAGCUACCACUGGUUUUGAGGACUCAAGUUGGAGAACAUCAGAGCAGAGUCAAUGCCACAGAAACAGGAUCUCUCCUGGUUGAGUUUCUACUUCACGCAAAUAAAGAGCAGGAACGCCUGCAAGUCCCCACUACACCAAAAGGCACUGGUCUUAAUUAGGCCUUUGUCAUCUACUAGGCUUACCUCUGCUGAAUUGCAUCUCAUUGGAGUGCUCACCCUCUGGCCACCAAGGAUUUUCUCACUCCUGGCUCUGCAGCAGGAGGUCCCCAGGCUCCCAAGCUGCCUGUUGGUGAACUUUGGGAAAGUUCUCACCUGCAUCACAAAACAGACCAGAGCUACAGACCUUCUUCGCUGCCUGCCAGGCAGACUAACACAAAUAAAUUUUACUAAAAAAGCACAUCACAAUUUCCAGGCUGCUCUUUGCCUGGCUGCAGCAACCAGUUGCAAAAAAUAUUUGAUGAUACUGUUUAAUUAUUAAAGAAGCUCAGAUAUCAAAGCUAAUUCAGAUACAGGAUUAAGAAUAAGGCAUUCUUCAAGACAUGAUGGACAAUUAUGCUAAUACAUGGCGUGUUUUCAUAUUAAAAUAGAAAUGGUGAGUAAGUUUUGAAAUUAAGAUGGUAGAGUUGUGUAUCAUAUGGAAUUAAAUUAUAUAUGUUUCAGAUCCUUUUCUUAAAAAUUGCAACAGAAUUCAAGAUAAGGGAUUUCUUUCAAUUAAGAUGCUAGAAAAAAUCAUAGUAGAAAAAGUGGGAAAAAUAUGAGAAAAGUUAAUAUGUUCUCUUUUAUCUGUAACAGACAUUCUUUAAUGUUUUGGAGACAACAAUUAGGCUAAGUACAUUAAAUCUACUGUUUAAUAAGAUUUUUAAGAAGUUAGGAAGUCUGGAAAGAGAUAAAUAAGUCUAGACAAAAUAUUCCUCUUUAAUGUGGUUAUCCUUUCCACCUUUUAAGGCUGUGACUUGUAGUGACCAAGCUCUGUAAUGAUUUCAGCGUGAUACAGAGCAUCAUUUGAAUGAAAGAACUCAAUUGUUUGAACUUUGGGUUGUAUAAUAGUCCCUUUCAUAGUGAAAGUAUGUUGAAUGCAUUGAAAUUGGUUUGAAGAGAGAAAUCAUCUCUGUUCCCUUUGUUCUUUUCUAUUAAUUUUAGACCUGGAGAUUCUCCUAUGGCAUUCAGGAAACCCCACUCGGAAAAUGGGAAAAAAAUCUGACCACAUUUAAAAUACAUCCUGCAGUCAAUGCAUUGCACUACUGUGAUAACUACAGUGUUAACAUCUGCAUUUCCUGCUGAGAGUUUGUGCAAUUACAAGGCACAGAUCUUCAGUGUAAAGGUUCCACUACUGUGAUAACUACAGUGUUAACACCUGCAUUUCCUGCUGAGAGUUUGUGCUAUUACAAGGCACAGAUCUUCAGUGUAAAGGUUUGCAUUUCAGUCAUGGAGAAGCAAGAAGCAGAGCUGCUAUACAUCACCCAGGAUGACAUCAGCAGUGCUGUAGAAAGAGAAAGUUGAUAAACCUUUGCCGGAAGAUAUGGAUCAAAAUCUGAUUAGUAAAACUCAAGGUUAAGUAAAUAUGAAAGAGAAUUUAAUAGUCUGCUCCUUCCCAUUCUGUUUCAGUGGUGUGAUCUAUCAUUUCAAAAGAAGCACCAUCAUUAUUUUGGAAAUCUGACUCCUCCAUGGGAUUUUAGGCUCAAUAUCACAUUCCCAGUUAACAACACAGUGUUUACCUGGAUAGAUCUUUUAAAAAGUCAUGUGGAUCUCCUAGAUCAGAAUGACAAAUCUUCCUAUUAUUCACUUGUAGCUUUAGUGUAUGAACUGAAAAAAGACUUGAGGGAGAAGGGUUGGAAUAAGGCUAUCACAUCGGGAUAAGGUUCUGCUCUUAGUUUUUAACCAUCUCUUUAAAAUAUUUUCAGGAUUCACCAGACAAACAGGAUUUCAUACAGAAAAUGCUGAUUCAAACCAGACAGAAAACACAUCCCUUUCUGUUACCAUGGGUACACUGGAAGAGCUUUUUGCUUCCUGUAGUGUUACAAUACCACACCACUGACACCACAAUGCAAAGAGCAAAAUAUGAUAGAAGAAAGAGCAGCUACCGUGGGCAUGCCAUCAAGACAUGAAGCCCUACCACCCCAACACCCCAAAAUCCCCAAACAACCCCUGCAACAAUAGUUUGUCCCUAAAUGGUAAGCUUAAAAGGUCACUAUUAAAAGCAGGAAAACAAUCUUCAAUAUGUAGUGAAUCAGAGCAUAUUUCAUAGAUGAAAUCAACCAUAUGCUGAUUCCUAAUAAGUUGAACUUAAAAAGAAAAUAUAGAAUAUGUAA